UGACUCCGCGCCGAAAAUACACCGGGACUAAAGCAUAUAACCGAAGCUGCGUCAUAUAGUUUACUAUAUGGGUAGGGGAGCGUACUGUAGUAAGACGAAGCUAGAGUGAAAACACUAGUGGAUGAGGCAGUAGUGAGAAUGUCGGCAUAAGUAGCGAAAACAUUGGUGAGAAUCCAAUGCACCGAAAACCUAAGGUUUCCCACGGCAGGCUCGUCCGCGUGGGGUUAGUCGGAUCCUAAGCUCAGGCCAAACGGCGUAGGCGAUGGACAAUAGGUUGAUAUUCCUAUACUAUCUGAUAAUCGUUAUCAGAAGCGGAGGGACGCAAGAGGAUAAGCACGCAGUCGACUGGAAGAGACUGUAUAAGCGUGUAGCUAGGUUUGACAGGAAAAUCCGUCAAAUCGUUAAUGUGAGGCGUGAUGUGGAGAGUCUACGGACUCGAAGGUGUUGACUCCAAAUUGCCAAGAAAAUCUUCGCUCUCGAGAUUAUUGGGUAUCCGUACCGUAAACCGCCACAGGUAGGUUGGUAGAAAAUACUAAGGUGCGCGAGACAACUCUCGCUAAGGAACUCGGCAAAAUCACCUCGUAACUUCGGGAGAAGAGGUACCCUGGUAGCGUGAAGCGAUUUACUCGUGAAGCGUGAUAGGGUCGCAGUGAAUAGGCCCAAGCGACUGUUUACCAAAAACACAGGUCUCUGCUAAGUCGAUCAAGACGAUGUAUAGGGGCUGACGCCUGCCCGGUGUCGGAAGGUUACGCGGAAAUGUUAGAAGCAAUUCAAAGCAUCGAAGCUAAGCCCCGAUGAACGGCGGCCGUAACUAUAACGGUCCUAAGGUAGCGAAAUUCCUUGUCAGGUAAGUUCUGACCCGCACGAAUGGCGUAACGAUUUGGGCGCUGUCUCGGCGAGAGGCUCGGCGAAAUUGGAUUAUCCGUGAAGAUACGGAUUACGUGUACCAGGACAGAAAGACCCUAUUGAGCUUUACUGUAGCUUGAAAUUGAAUUCGGGUUCUCAUUGCGCAGUAUAGGUGGGAGACUAUGAAGCUUGAACUUUGGUUUAAGUGGAGUCAUCGUUGAGAUACCACUCUGUGAAAAUUUGGAUUCUAACCUUGAUCCCUCAAAGAACAGGGCAAGGGACAGUUUCUGGUAGGCAGUUUGACUGGGGCGGUCGCCUCCUAAAAAGUAACGGAGGCGUUCAAAGGUUCCCUCAGGUUGGUCGGAAAUCAACCGUUGAGUGCAAUAGCAAAAGGGAGCUUGACUGUGAGACCUACAAGUCGAGCAGGUACGAAAGUAGGAUAUAGUGAUCCGGUGGUUCUGUAUGGAAGGGCCAUCGCUCAUCGGAUAAAAGUUACCAUAGGGAUAACAGGCUUAUCUCCCCCAAGAGUCCACAUCGACGGGGAGGUUUGGCACC
rnacentral:rRNA from 1 species